rnacentral:rRNA from 1 species
GAUGAACGCUGGCGGCGUGCCUAAUACAUGCAAGUCGAGCGAACAGACGAGGAGCUUGCUCCUCUGACGUUAGCGGCGGACGGGUGAGUAACACGUGGAUAACCUACCUAUAAGACUGGGAUAACUUCGGGAAACCGGAGCUAAUACCGGAUAAUAUAUUGAACCGCAUGGUUCAAUAGUGAAAGACGGUUUUGCUGUCACUUAUAGAUGGAUCCGCGCCGCAUUAGCUAGUUGGUAAGGUAACGGCUUACCAAGGCAACGAUGCGUAGCCGACCUGAGGGGGUGAUCGGCCACACUGGAGCUGAGACACGGUCCAGACUCCUACGGGAGGCAGCAGUAGGGAAUCUUCCGCAAUGGGCGAAAGCCUGACGGAGCAACGCCGCGUGAGUGAUGAAGGUCUUCGGAUCGUAAAACUCUGUUAUUAGGGAAGAACAAAUGUGUAAGUAACUAUGCACGUCUUGACGGUACCUAAUCAGAAAGCCACGGCUAACUACGUG